CCUACGGGGGGCUGCAGUGGGGAAUAUUGGACAAUGGGCGAAAGCCUGAUCCAGCCAUGCCGCGUGUGUGAAGAAGGCCUUCGGGUUGUAAAGCACUUUCAGUGGGGAAGAAAGCCUUGGGGCUAAUACCCUCGAGGAAGGACAUCACCCACAGAAGAAGCACCGGCUAACUCCGUGCCAGCAGCCGCGGUAAUACGGAGGGUGCGAGCGUUAAUCGGAAUUACUGGGCGUAAAGCGCGCGUAGGCGGUCUGAUAAGCCGGUUGUGAAAGCCCCGGGCUCAACCUGGGAACGGCAUCCGGAACUGUCAGGCUAGAGUGCAGGAGAGGAAGGUAGAAUUCCCGGUGUAGCGGUGAAAUGCGUAGAGAUCGGGAGGAAUACCAGUGGCGAAGGCGGCCUUCUGGACUGACACUGACGCUGAGGUGCGAAAGCGUGGGUAGCAAACAGGAUUAGAUACCCGGGUAGU
rnacentral:rRNA from 1 species